GACGAACGCUGGCGGCGUGCUUAACACAUGCAAGUCGAACGAAGUGGCGAACGGGUGAGUAACGCGUAAUCAACCUGCCCUUCGGAGGGGGCCAACAGUUGGAAACGACUGCUAAUACCGCAUACUGAAGGAGGGGAUUGCGUCUGAUUAGCUAGUUGGAGGGGUAACGGCCCACCAAGGCGAUGAUCAGUAGCCGGGAUGAGAGGAUGAACGGCAACAUUGGGACUGAGACACGGCCCAGACUCCUACGGGAGGCAGCAGUGGGGAAUCUUCCGAAAUGGACGAAAGUCUGACGGAGCAACGCCGCGUGAGUGAUGACGGCCUUCGUGUUGUAAAGGUCUGUUAAUCGGGACGCGGUACCGGAAUAGAAUGCCACGGCUAACUACGUGCCAGCAGCCGCGGUAAUAC
rnacentral:rRNA from 1 species